rfam:Terrisporobacter sp. 08-306576 Contig133, whole genome shotgun sequence.
UAAAAAAUAAAGAAAAAUAUUCGUAUAUAAUGGUAAUAUGGUCCAUAAGUUUCUACGAACUCACCGUAAAUGAGAUCACUAUGAAUAGUUACAGAAUCUUA